AAUGCAGUCUCGCUAAGAAUUCCACUUGACUCGAUUCCUGUCACAGACUGGUACAGAACUGAACAUGCUACAUAACAGUCAUACCUGUAACACUAGCACCUGUUUCAGCCUUAUUGUAUUUAUGAGUGUGAGUGGGUGUGUGUGUAUGCGUAGAGAGAGAGAGAGAGAGAGAGAGAGAGAGAGAGAGGCACAGUGUUGAGUGUGGAGACCGUUUCAGAUCUAACUGUGUAGAGCUGGAUUCUACGCAGGAAUGUACAAAAAGACUGGAUUUCCUCUGCUGCAUAGUUUCACGAACACUGAUCAAAUCUUUGACACAAUAUUGUAGACAUGAAAGCCAUGUAAGCGUAAAAUGACCCACGGGGAGCGUGUUCCGAAGAAUUUGCGAAGUGGAAAGACUUUUUAGGAAUCUGUAAGGUACGACGGUGGACAGUGUUUUUUUCCUCCAUUCGUCUGCAAGGACCCUUUUAAAUGUGAUUCAGGAUCAUUUUGAUGAUUUGGACAAAGGACUGGUGUUUGAACUAAUGUGUUUUUUCCACGUCUAUUUAAUUCGUCUUGUUAAUUUCUAUUUAUUUAUCAUUUGUGUUUGUCUCUGUGGUCUUAUUUUAUCAAUGUUUUUUCAAUCUUCAUGCUGCAUUGUACAGUGUACCAUACCGAAUGCAAACUAUGUAGGCCGAGUUGUGAGCACAACCUCAAAGACGUGUUGGAAGACUUAUUUUCUUCUCUUAUUUUCUUUAUAAUUUAUUUAGUCAGGUUAUGUGUUAACUCACAGUAUACAAUGGGAUUUUGGUGGAAAAUACUGUAUUUUCUCAUUCCUGAGUGGUCAAAUGACUGAAAAUAAAGGUUUGUUGAAUCAAA